GGGGAAUUUUCCGCAAUGGGCGAAAGCCUGACGGAGCAAGACCGCGUGAGGGAGGAAGGCUCUUGGGUUGUAAACCUCUUUUCUCAGGGAAGAAAAAAAUGACGGUACCUGAGGAAUCAGCAUCGGCUAACUCCGUGCCAGCAGCCGCGGUAAUACGGAGGAUGCAAGCGUUAUCCGGAAUCAUUGGGCGUAAAGCGUUCGUAGGUGGCUGGGCAAGUCUGCUGUCAAAGACCGGAGCUUAACUCUGGAAAGGCGGUGGAAACUGCGCGGCUAGAGUGCGGUAGGGGUAGAGGGAAUUCCCGGUGUAGCGGUGAAAUGCGUAGAGAUCGGGAAGAACACCGGUGGCGAAAGCGCUCUACUGGGCCUGCACUGACACUGAGGACGAAAGGGUAU
rnacentral:rRNA from 1 species